CCGGUGUGGGGUUCUGGGCUCCUCUGGACACGUGGGGAGCUUCAGCAGCCUGCACGACAGCGGACUCACAUUUCCUGGCGGAGAUCGAGGCCCCGCCCCGCCUGGCCUAGGCCUGCGCCUUCCCGGCUCGGACGCGCGGACCUCGCCCCAGGUUCCUGGAACCGGGCAAACCGGUCCGGGUGCUGCUUCUGUGGCUCAGCCCUUUCACAGGUUUGCGGAGGCUUUAGCGGGGCGCCUGUCCCUUAGGUCCUGCCGAGAGGAGAGUGGAGGGGAUCUUGGAUGGCCGACACGACUAGAGCCGUCCCUUACUUGCUCUCCUGCAGGGCGAUCCUCUCUGGCCUCAGUUUCCCAUCCGUAAAAGGUGGAGUUAAAAGGACCAGUCUCAAAGGAGAGGUUGCAAAUGAAUCAUUCAUUCACAAAAACCACUUAGCAAGCACCUGCUAGACUCGUCUCUGGCCUCGAAAGGAGGCCCCAGGCCAGAAGAGGAGACAAACCCAGAAACGAGUAUAAAAUUGCUUUGUGAUGUUACAGGGAAAAAAAAAAAAAAAAAGCUCCUAAUCUGAGCGUCCGUAAACAAAGGUCUUGGACCAAAAUGGGGGGCACUUGUAGCUUUGUCUCUCUUCCAGAGGCAGAAUUUUUCUAACUCUGAAACGGUGGCCAAACUGAUUCAAUGCUAUUUAAAUAAGAGGACGAAUCCCUUUGUUUCUCUCUUUUCAGCUUUUAGACUUUCCCUAGUCUUCUGACUGAAGAUAGGCCCUUUCCUGUCUCCUGUGGUAAUAAUGUGUCGUAAACCGUGGCGAAUCUCUGUGCCUAACUAAGAAAGCUGUCUGGACCCUCAUACUGGCUACUGUUUCAGCAGAAUCUUAAGACAUUGUUUUGUUUUCACUGUAGCUUGUAUUAAAGGUUACCUUCUAAGUAUGGUCCGUGAUUAACAAGUGGCUUACGUUCAGAAAAAUUUUUAGGUAAAUAAUAGUACAGUUGUUUUGCAGAUAUGACAAAAAUCCUGGCCAUCAACGGUCUGAAAUUUGGUAAAUUCUAUGCUAAGAGUCAUGGGCAGCCACUGAUUAAAUGCGACAAUAACUACUAAGCACUUAGCACUUGCCUCCCCCAGACAACCGCAUCGACUCUUCCAGGCCUGGGUUGGGCAUUCCUGGGACGGACAUUUGAACACAGAUGCGAACUAGAACAUUAAUUUACCCUUCCAGACGGAUGAAACCAAACUCUGGAGCUGAGCGGGGACGCUGACCCUCAUGCACACGGAGCUGUUGGAGGCAGGAACUAUUUCUCCAGCUCUCUGGGAUGAGCACAGCAUCUGUACCCACAUUGCCACACCAAAUGCCUGUAUUGCUGUAUGCGCCUUUAAAUGGACGGCACUGUUAUUCUGAGUUCUACCAAUAAUAAAAUAACACCGCUUCCGGUG